AGAGUUUGAUCCUGGCUCAGGAUGAACGCUGGCGGCGUGCCUAACACAUGCAAGUCGAGCGAGGGUUUGCUCAGUAUUGAGUAUUCUAAGUCUAGAAUGUUCAAUACUGAGCAAAACCAAGCGGCGGACGGGUGAGUAACGCGUGGGUAACCUGCCCUAUACACAUGGAUAACAUACUGAAAAGUUUACUAAUACAUGAUAAUAUAUAUUUGCGGCAUCGCAGAUAUAUCAAAGUGUUAGCGGUAUAGGAUGGACCCGCGUCUGAUUAGCUAGUUGGUGAGAUAACUGCCCACCAAGGCGACGAUCAGUAGCCGACCUGAGAGGGUGAUCGGCCACAUUGGAACUGAGACACGGUCCAAACUCCUACGGGAGGCAGCAGUGGGGAAUAUUGCACAAUGGGCGAAAGCCUGAUGCAGCAACGCCGCGUGAACGAUGAAGGUCUUCGGAUCGUAAAGUUCUGUUGCAGGGGAAGAUAAUGACGGUACCCUGUGAGGAAGCCCCGGCUAACUACGUGCCAGCAGCCGCGGUAAUACGUAGGGGGCUAGCGUUAUCCGGAUUUACUGGGCGUAAAGGGUGCGUAGGUGGUCCUUCAAGUCGGUGGUUAAAGGCUACGGCUCAACCGUAGUAAGCCGCCGAAACUGGAGGACUUGAGUGCAGGAGAGGAAAGUGGAAUUCCCAGUGUAGCGGUGAAAUGCGUAGAUAUUGGGAGGAACACCAGUAGCGAAGGCGGCUUUCUGGACUGCAACUGACACUGAGGCACGAAAGCGUGGGUAGCAAACAGGAUUAGAUACCCUGGUAGUCCCCGCUGUAAA
rnacentral:rRNA from 1 species